GAGUUAACCCAUCUACUUUUAUAUGGGCAUCCACUUUUGAAGAAGCUGAGUACUGAUUAGUGGAGACAGAGAAGGCUUUCGCGACUCUUGGGGUGAUUUUCAAACAGAAGGUUGUCCUUACCACAUAUAUACUCGUAGGUGAGGCAGGUUGUUGAUAGCAACUCAAGCAGGGCUACUCUACUCACUCCAGUCACUUGAGAACAGUUUUUGGCAGCCUUCAAUAUUGAUUAUCUUCCAAAACAUCUCUAGCAUAUAAAAGAAAUAGAGUUUGCACACCUAGUCCAGAGAUAUUUAUCAG
rnacentral:lncRNA from 1 species